rnacentral:rRNA from 1 species
UACGUAGGGUGCAAGCGUUGUCCGGAAUUAUUGGGCGUAAAGAGCUCGUAGGCGGUUUGUCGCGUCUGCCGUGAAAGUCCGGGGCUCAACUCCGGAUCUGCGGUGGGUACGGGCAGACUAGAGUGAUGUAGGGGAGACUGGAAUUCCUGGUGUAGCGGUGGAAUGCGCAGAUAUCAGGAGGAACACCGAUGGCGAAGGCAGGUCUCUGGGCAGUUACUGACGCUGAGGAGCGAAAGCAUGGGGGAGCGAACAGG